rnacentral:rRNA from 1 species
ACGGAUAUCUCGGCUCUCGCAUCGAUGAAGAACGUAGCGAAAUGCGAUACCUGGUGUGAAUUGCAGAAUCCCGCGAACCAUCGAGUCUUUGAACGCAAGUUGCGCCCGAGGCCUCUUGGCCGAGGGCACGCCUGCCUGGGCGUCACGCAAAACACGCUCCCAACCCACUAACCUGGUGCGGGACGCGGCAUGUGGCUACCCGUCUCGCAAGGGGCGGUUGGCCGAAGAUCCGGCUGCCGGCGUAUCGUGCCGGACACAGCGCGUGGU